AGUGGCCAGGCCUACUUCCAUUACCAGGCCCAGCUGGGGUCUAAUUAUUGUGCUUCUUGUGCUGAUUCCUGACACCACCAAGUCUAGGACUGCCUUAGAUUUCCAGCUGAAUUCUUUUAGAGACAAAGGCAUUGGAUAGAGCUAACACCAUGUGCAGAUCAUCUGCGUUCUGGGAGUUCCCUGUUAAGGGCUCAGCAAACUGAGUGGAGACCACAGAGCACAAAGCAUAUUAGACCACUGCAAUGUGCCAUACAUAUGGUUACAUCUUGAGACCAUCUGGUGCACCAGCUGAUUCACAGCAUAGCUGCCUGCUUGGGAGGACAUUCCACAUGCCAUCAUUAAGUCGAAGUCCCCCACUAAGCAGAAGGUACUGUCUUGUGUGCCGUUGCAAGUACACUGAAUCUCUGUGAAAGCAUGAACAGGAUACUGGAGUCACAGGGCAGUGUUGGCUGUGAAUCACUCUUUUAUCCUUCAGCUGAACUGCUCCAGUGUUCUGUCUUCAUUAAUAAUUAAUACUGAGGGGAAGCGGCGCUCGUUUAGCAUUGUCUUCUGUGACAGUGAAAGUGGAAAGAAUGUUUUUCAGAUCUUCACAGCCUCCUUUGUUCCACGGCCCUUGAAAGGGGGGGUUAUGUCUUCUACACUUCUGAACAAAAUCUCUGGGUUCGCUUUUGAUACUGGGAGUAGUAUUAUACGUGAAAUACAGCGACAUCCAAGGUGAAGUAAAGGUUCCUGAAGAUGAAGCAACAAAGGGACUAACAGGAAUCAUGAUCUUGAGCUGGAGUAAGGUUUUUUAGAAUCAGGGACUAGGAAUCAGGAUACCUGGCCUGCGUCACAGACUCUGAGGGUUUUUCAGCUAAUGAUGUUUAUAAAGCACUUUGAAAUCUGUGAAUGGAAUGAGCUACAUCAAUUGAAAAUACUGAAAGGUGCCUGAUCCUGAGGGACUCUUUCAAGUUUAAUCUGCAGUCCUGUCUAGAAAGAACUUGAGGGGAAAAGUUAGGCUUCAGGCCAUGCCAUGGUGGAGAUAUUCCAACAACACAAACACCAUAUGGAAACGUUCAGAGCACAGAACACCACUGGCCUGCCCACAUAUGGGAGAGCCAUGCACCAAUGAGGACCUUGCUAAGGCUACAAAUUGAGCAAUAGUAUGUACCCAUUUCUGGCCCCAAAGUUGAACAUGGUGACAGGACACAAUAACAAGAAAGAAGAAUCCUGGAAGGACCAAGGGCCCAGUUCAGAAAAGCAGGCAGUGUAAGGGGUCUAUGGAGGGAACUAGCUGUGGGUAGAAAACUGAGUAGGUGGUAAGCUGGAAGAAAAUGAGAAGGAAGCUGAAUGACAAACUAGGGCCUGGAUGGGAAAGCCAGGGACAGGAAAGAAAAGCCGGCAAGUCAGAGACAUGAAGCAGCUGCCAUAAUGAUAUUGCUGUUACCGAUAAACCGUUGAAGAACAGAGACAUAAACAUCCUUCUUAGAUCUCAUAUUCAUAAGAGCAUGAAAAUAAAAAAGGUCAUGAAAGUCAUGGUCCUCCCCCUUCUCGAAUGCCACAAAAUGAAAGUAUCUGUGCUUAAGAUAUUUCUGUGUUGAGCCUGUGUUCUUUGCUUUGCUGCCACAACCCUGAAGUGGUUAAAAAAGACACCUCGAAUGCCAACAGCUUAUUUGGAACUGGGAGAGCGUGUACACGAGGCUGUGGCAAGGCAAGGACUCAGCAAGUCUGAGACAAGGAUCUUGGGACCAAGCAGUACAUGUCCCAAAUAAGAGGACUGAUGCCCUUCUAACCCCAGAGCUAGAAACAAUGGCAAGACUCCAUCCCUGCCCAAUUUGCUUAAAAGCCUGUUGGACUCAGCAACUGUAUCCCCUUGCAGCAGCCUGGUGACCACAAUGCAUUGUA